CUCUAUUUCCCUUCCAACCCUACUCUCUCUCUCUCUCUCAGUCUCUCUUUGUGCAGGCACUGGGACAUUAGGGUCGAGCCUCGCCGGAGCGUGGACGGAAAUGACGGCCUGCGUUCGCGAGGUUGGACAAGGAACCGACGGCGGCGCUCGUCGCGCGAGAUCCACAUCUCGAGCCGACGCGGCCGACCCCUAUCUUGCUCCCCAGGAUCGAAGCUUGCCAGCCCCUAACUCUACAGGAAGGUGACUGGCAAACGCGGUUCCCAGGGGACGAUCGUAGAGGUUGACCUCCGGUCGCUCGAUCCAUUUGCUGAGUUGUAAUGCUUCUGCUUGGUGCAGGUGCACAUGCAUGAGUGUUGUUCAGGAUAUGCUCUCCGUCUCGGCAGUAAAUGAUUGAAUCUGUGGUAUGUUUGCUUAGUGGAGUGGGUAUUCAAGGAAAGCAUGCCAAAGAUCAGGUUCUGCUGCAUGCAGACCAAGGCUGUGGAGUUGUACCUGUGGCUGGUCAGCAUGAUCACGGAUGAUGUUCUAUGUCAUGUUCUCUUCAUUGGGUCCGAGGCCUACUACAAGGCUCUACAGGUAGACAGAUUGAUGGACAUUGCAUAAUGUUUAGAAGGCUCGCGCUGUCAUUUUGCAUGAUACACAUGUUUUUUCUAAUCACUGAGGUACUUUGUAUACACUGAGUUCUUCCCAAGUCAAUGUGGUAAGUAUAAACCAUGUUCUUGUGUCCUCGAGCUAUCUGUUCUAUUUUUUCUGCUAGGAGAUGUUUUUGUGUGAGCUGUCGAUGAUUGUAACAGGCUGCUGCGUAGUAUAUAUAAAGACUCAAUUAGAGCUUUGUAUGACACUUAGUUGUUUGUUGACAUUUGGAAGUUCGACAUAAUAUUGGUUUCGCGCUUAUCAUGAAAUGAACUUGUGAUGGUUGAAGUUAAAAAUGCCUUAUUUGCUCCUUGUCUUCAUUAUUGACUAUAAACACUAUGCUUAAUUGUGCCUUGCUCAAACUGAAACACAAAGAGAGAAUAUUUUUGGCUCCUGCAUGACUACUAGUAGUCAGGUCAUAAGUUACACGUGGCUGCAUAUUUUUGCAAUUGGAAGACCACACCAGUAUGUGAGUAUAACAUGCAUCCUUGCCCUUCUUGGUUGCUUGGUAUUCAGAUAAAAAUACUUCUAUUUUUUCGUUAGCUAACAAACUUUUCCCAAGACCUGUAUGGUCACAUGAAGUUUUUGUGUUUUGUAAGUAUUCCAGAAUGUACCCUUGAUUCCAAACCAGUUUUGAACCAAAUGCUCGGACAAGAUCAUGCACCUUUUGCUAGGAGUGAUCAAGAGCAGUAUGAUAGACCUCAAGGUUGAUGAAGCUCAAAGAGAAGUCUCAGCAAAGAAAAGCUAGCUAGUUAUUGCCCAGAGCAGUUAUAAUUUGAUAGCUGGGACAUCUGUACAUGGGAUACGUAAUGUGGAGAUAUUGUAAUUGACUUAACUAUGGCAGCGAGAGAUUUUUCUUAACAAUGGUGUUCUGGUUGUGAUUCGAACGACUGUAAAGUUUCAUGUGCUCUCUAUUUGUUA